CAUAAUUGCGAAUAUAAUCAUUCAUAGCAUUCAUAUUGUUGAUAUUUGUCCAAUCAACUGAACUUCGACGCAGUGCAAGAGAUUUCAAAACUGACGCAUCGAUUGAUUAUAUUGAGGUAUACAUAUCAGUAGGUAUUAAUCAGUGAUUUGUUAUUAUUUCGACAGUUUGUUAACUAAUCGCGAGUCGAAUCAGUUGAUGUAUUUGACAAUUAAAAGUCUAAUUGUAUAUAUACAUCUAGAUUACACUUGUUUAGAAACACUAUAGAUAUACAUGAUGAUGCAUUGAAGGAAUUGUAGACGUAUAAUAUCAAUUUCAGAAUGUUAAUCCUCAACGUUUUAUUAACCGUAAAGACAGAUACACGCGUGUCAUAUCGAGUGUAAUCCGAUAAUAUUUAAUUCAUUGAUCCCUCAUUCUGUUUUCACACCGAACUAUCACCGAGUAACUUCUACACCAUUUAAUCAUGUCAAGAAAUGUAUUUCAAAUAUUUCGUUAUAAACAACGAAGCAAGAAAUGAAGUUAAAUUCUUCAAGAGCUGUAUCCAUAGACAGUUUGAAUAUUAUUGCUACACUUAUAAUUGUUAUUGUAUCUGCACAGCAUGCACGUGUUAACAAUUUUUUUUUUUUUUAUUCUGGAUUGUUGGGAAUGAUAUUUCACAACUCAUCAUGAAGCUGAAGGACGAAACAACGGUCUUUGCGUGGAAUAAUUAUGUUACAAAAGUUACAAUGCCGCACUGCAAAAUGUGAUGAUAGACCAUUAUAGACAGAAUGAACUAAUAUGUGAAAAUCCGAACUCAAUCUGCCAUUUUCGGGAUUAACGGUAUUCCCCGUUAUAAAUUGGAAUAAAAAAUCCCAGUUCUCAAUAUGGAAUUCCCUGACCAAACCAAGGCCGAACUUGAUCCGCAACAACCAACUCGUUGCCUUUUCCUUGUGCGUCUAAUACAGCAAAAUAGUCAUUUCAAUCGAAGAAUGUUGAAGAAUUUACGAACGGUAUGGGAGUUGAGAUUAAACAUAGGUAUACCGAUAUUAUAUUGUUACAUAAGACGAUGAAGAGAAGAAAAGAUCACUAACACCAGCGCUGAGAUAAAAUCUCAAAUGAGAUUUGGUUUCAGCAUCUUAAAUAAUUAGCCCACCUCUGCUAUGACAUUUUUCUUAUGGGUACAGCUGUUCAUCAAGGUUUCGGUCAUGGUAGUUUUGGAUUACCAGCUGCGUAUAUCAUUAAUAAUAAAAUUUGACGCGUGUUUUUCCGCGAACAUGAUGAAUUAAAUUGAGCAAUUUUACUGAU